rnacentral:rRNA from 1 species
AUUGAACGCUGGCGGCAUGCUUUACACAUGCAAGUCGAACGGUAACAGGGUGCUUGCACCGCUGACGAGUGGCGAACGGGUGAGUAAUGCGUCGGAACGUGCCGAGUAGUGGGGGAUAACGCAUCGAAAGGUGUGCUAAUACCGCAUACGUACUGAGGUAGAAAGUGGGGGACCUUCGGGCCUCACGCUAUUCGAGCGGCCGGCGUCUGAUUAGCUAGUUGGUGAGGUAAAGGCUCACCAAGGCGACGAUCAGUAGCGGGUCUGAGAGGAUGAUCCGCCACACUGGGACUGAGACACGGCCCAGACUCCGUCUGGAGGCAGCAGUGGGGAAUUUUGGACAAUGGGCGCAAGCCUGAUCCAGCCAUGCCGCGUGUCUGAAGAAGGCCUUCGGGUUGUAAAGGACUUUUGUCCGGGAGCAAAUACCCAGUGCUAAUAACGCUGGGGGCUGAGAGUACCGGAAGAAUAAGCACCGGCUAACUACGUGCCAGCCGCCGCGGUAA